rnacentral:rRNA from 1 species
CCAGCCGUAAACAAUUAACUUACACCUAAAAUCGCCUGGGGACUACGAGCGAAGCUUAAAACCCAAAGGACUUGACGGUGUCCCACCCACCUAGAGGAGCCUGUCCUAUAAUCGAUAAUCCCCGUUCAACCUCACCAUUUCUUGCUUUACAGUCUGUAUACCGCCGUCUAAAGCUCACCAUGUGAACGAUUAAAGUCAGCGAAAUGGUCUUACCCACCAACACGUCAGGUCAAGGUGCAGCUAACGAAAUGGGAAGAGAUGGGCUACAAUUUCUAAUAUAGAACAUACGGAUUAUUAGGUGAAACCCCUGAUAUGAAGGUGGAUUUAGUAGUAAAAAGAAAGUAGAGUGUUCUUUUUAACUUGGCUCUGGGACGCGUACACACCGCCCGUCACCCCCCUCGAUAGUAAUAUUUCUAGUACAUAACAAGUAAUCCGCGCCUUAGAGGGGGCAAGUCGUAACAUGGUAAGUGUACUGGAAAGUGCGCUUGGUCUAUCAAGAAGUAGCUUAAGAAAAGCCUCCCGUUUACACCGGUAUUAUGCCUGUUAAAAUCAGGCCGUCUUGAGCCUUAAAUCUAGCCCCCCCCCAUCACCCAUAUUGACCCAACCAUUUAUAAAAACUAGUAAAACAUUUUUAAGUUAUAGUAGAGGUGAUCAAAAUAACUCUAAGAGCUUUAGAUAAAGUACCGCANGGGAAGGAUGAAAUAGAAAUGAAACAACCACAAAGCCUUUCAUAGCAAACACCCCCUCG